rnacentral:rRNA from 1 species
UACGUGCCAGCAGCCGCGGUAAACGGUAGGACGCAAGCGUUAUCCGGAUUUACUGGGCGUAAAGAGCGUUGAGACGGCUCCGUAAGUUGGGCGUGAAAGCCCCGGGCUUAACCCGGGGAGGUCGUCCAAUACUGCGGGACUUGAGGGCAGCAGAGGGAGNCGGAACUCCCGGUGUAGCGGUGAAAUGCGUAGAUAUCGGGAGGAACACCAGUGGCGAAGGCGGCCUCCCGGGCUGUUUCUGACGCUGAAGGCGAAAGCUAGGGGAGCGAACGGGGUUAGAAACCCCGGUAGUCCUAGCCGUAAACGAUGGAUGCUGGGUGUGGGGGGUAUAGAUCCCCUCCGUGCCGAAGCUAACGCGUUAAGCAUCCCGCCUGGGGAUUACGGCCGCAAGGCUUAAACUCAAACGAAUUGACGGGGGCCCGCACAAGCAGCGGAGCGUGUGGUUUAAUUCGAUGCUACACGAAGAACCUUACCUGGGCUUGACAUGUAGGUAGUAGUGAAGCGAAUGCGGAACGACCCUUCGGGGAGCCUACACAGGUGCUGCAUGGCUGUCGUCAGUUCGUGCCGUGAGGUGUCGGGUUAAGUCCCGUAACGAACGCAACCCUUGCCCUUAGUUACAUGUGUCUAAGGGGACUGCCCGGGACAACUGGGAGGAAGGUGGGGAUGACGUCAAGUCAGCAUGGCCUUUAUGUCCAGGGCUACACACACGCUACAAUGGCCGGUACAAUGGGUCGCCAAGCCGUGAGGCGGAGCCAAUCCCCCAAAGCCGGUCUAAGUUCGGAUUGUGGGCUGCAACUCGCCCAUAUGAAGCUGGAGUUGCUAGUAACCGCGCGUCAGCAAUAGUGCGGUGAAUACGUUCCCGGGCCUUGUACA